AGGAUGAACGCUAGCGGCAGGCUUAAUACAUGCAAGUCGUGGGGCAGCAGGUGUAGCAAUACAUGCUGGCGACCGGCAAACGGGUGCGGAACACGUACGCAACCUUCCUUUAACUGGAGAAUAGCCCCUCGAAAGAGGGAUUAAUACUCCGUAACAUCCCGACACAGCAUUGUGAUGGGAUUAUAGCUCCGGCGGUUAAAGAUGGGCGUGCGCCUGAUUAGGUAGUUGGCGGGGUAACGGCCCACCAGGGCGACGAUCGGUAGCUGGUCUGAGAGGAUGAUCAGCCACACUGGGAUUGAGAACGGCCCAGACUCCUACGGGGGGCAGCAGUGAGGAAUCUUCCGCAAUGGGGGCAACCCUGACGGAGCAACGCCGCGUGCAGGAGGACGCUUUUUCGGAGUGUAAACUGCUUUUUCUCGAGGAAGAAGUCGGACGGUACUCGAGGAAGAAGCCCCGGCUAACUACGCGCCAGCAGCCGCGGUAA
rnacentral:rRNA from 1 species